rnacentral:rRNA from 1 species
UACGUAGGGUGCAAGCGUUAAUCGGAAUUAUCUAGGGCGUAACGUGCGCAGGCGGUUUGGUAAGACAGAUGUGAAAUCCCCGGGCUUAACCUGGGAAUUGCAUUUGUGACUGCCCGGCUAGAGUGUGUCAGAGGGGGGUAGAAUUCCGACGUGGUAGCAGUGAAAUGCGUAGAUAUGUGGAGGAAUACCGAUGGCGAAGGCAGCCCCCUGGGAUAACACUGACGCUCAUGCACGAAAGCGUGGGGAGCAAACAGGA